AACACAGCCUAUUAAAUACAAGUUAUUAUAAAAUUUAAUUUAUGAUUGAGUAAUUAUAAAUAACUAAAUCGAUCAAUUUAUCAAAAAAGAAAAACUGAAUUGAUCACGUAAUAUUCCCCUCCCCUCAUAAAAAAAAAAAAAAAAUGAUCACUUAAUAUGUUUCUAAGGCAAUGUUCACCAAUCGCAAGAGCGAUUUAGUAUGAUUAUUGUAUCUGUCUCGAGAAGCGACGUUGUGUCUAAACCCUAACCAGUCCCAAUCAAAAUUCUACCACUGAAAGCAUCUCUACCGCCACCUCCACCGCCACCGACGGCCAACAUCCGGUUAUCUCUACUACACCGCGUCUAUCAACGUAGCUGGCAUCGGAUUUCUUCUUCUUCUUCUUCUUCUUCUUCUUCUUCUUCUUCUUCUUCUUCUUCUUCUUCUUCUUCUUCUUCUUCUUCUUCUUCUUCUUCUUCUUCUUCUUCUUCUUCUUCUUCUUCUUCUUCUUCUUCUUCUUCUUCUUCUUCUUCUUCUUCUUCUUCUUCUUCUUCUUCUUCUUCUUCUUCUUCUUCUUCUUCAAAAAAUAAUUAAAAUAAUUCAAUUAAAAGAAAAAAAUAAUACGUAUUAUUUAAAUUUAGAAAAAGUAUGAUUUUAUCUCUAUAUUUUGGCAUAACAACUAUUUUGUCCUUAUAUUUUUUAAACUAUAUUAUUUUAUUUUUGUAGUUUAUCUCCGUUAAAUGAAAUUAUAUUUCCAUCUGUUUUUUGAGAUUUAAGUCAUUAAGUGAUCCAAAAUAGAUGAAUCAAAUAGUUUAAUUUUUAAAAUAUAUUGACAAAGUAUUUAAUUAUAUCAAAAUAUAGAAAAAAAUGUAACUUUUUCCCUUUUAGUUUAUAUGUAUAUAGAUUUAGUCCUAUAAUUUCACCACCAAUUAAAAGACUUAAAUAUCAAAUAAUGAAUGAAAAGAUAAUUUCGUUUAACGGAGACAAACUACAUGGAUACAAUAACGUAAUUCUUAAUAUAUAUGGACAAAAUAGUUAAUUAGGUCAAAACAUAAAAAUGAAAAUAUAAUUUCUCCUUAAAUUUAUCAUUGUACAUCUUAUGAUAGAACGUAAUACCUACAAUUAAUAUCUUAAUUACAAAUUAUUUAGAGAUUAUAAUUAUAGAUCAAUUAGGAAUCUUAUUAAAUUCUACUUUAUUAUAGAUCAUCAAUAUUUGAUUCCUACAGAAAAAAUCCCCAUAAAAAAAUCUUAUUUUUUUUGACUAUUGGGUUUGUUAUUAUUUUAGGUUCACCAUACAAAGUUAUCAUCAAUUUGGUGAACGCUAUCUAAAUGGAAGGGUUGCCCCCUGCUGCGCAAUCCAGUAUGUCAUUUUGGCUCGUUGGACCUCCCAUGUAUCCAAAUGUUAUUAUUUUCGGUUAAAAGCUUAUUUACUUAUUACUUUUACUUCUUAAUUUUAGAGGUAGCAUUUUAUUGUGGUUGUUAUUAUUAUUAUUAUUAUUAUUAUUAUUUUUGUACCUUAUUCUAAUCAUAAAAUUUUGCUUAUGAUAUUAAUUUAAUGUUUUUAUCUAUGUAUUAUUAUCUUUGUAAUAAAAUAUCAAAUAAAAAUGACUUAAUGUAUUUGUUUUUUUCUCAAUAAUUUAUUAUUAUUUUUUGACGUUAUAAAAAAAUCAAUUAAACAUAUUUAGGUAAAAAAUAAAGAGUAUUUAUAUCGAAUACUGAAGCGCAACACAGCCUAUUAAAUACAAGUUAUUAUAAAAUUUAAUUUAUGAUUGAGUAAUUAUAAAUAACUAAAUCGAUCAAUUUAUCAAAAAAGAAAAACUGAAUUGAUCACGUAAUAUUCCCCUCCCCUCAUAAAAAAAAAAAAAAAAUGAUCACUUAAUAUGUUUCUAAGGCAAUGUUCACCAAUCGCAAGAGCGAUUUAGUAUGAUUAUUGUAUCUGUCUCGAGAAGCGACGUUGUGUCUAAACCCUAACCAGUCCCAAUCAAAAUUCUACCACUGAAAGCAUCUCUACCGCCACCUCCACCGCCACCGACGGCCAACAUCCGGUUAUCUCUACUACACCGCGUCUAUCAACGUAGCUGGCAUCGGAUUUCUUCUUCUUCUUCUUCUUCUUCUUCUUCUUCACUCCGUUUUCACGGCUUGUUAUUCAGUCUCCAAUCGCUCUAGCUCAAUUUGUCUCAGAGAUCCUCUGAAGCGCUACCAGGUAACUGGAACUACAUUUUCCUUUGGAGUUGUGAAUAAUUUUCUCUUCCAUAUUGUUUGUUAGUUGAGGUCGCUGCUGGUUCUAGUUUUGUAGUCGUUAAAUUUUGAGAACUUUCCUGUGCGUUGUUCUUGUGUUUUGGGCCUGUAAUUCACAAUCUGCCUCUUUCAAAUCAAUUUGUUGUCUUUAAAAUUUCAAAGAACAGGGUUAGGGGGUAGGAGGUAGUGG
rnacentral:lncRNA from 1 species